rnacentral:rRNA from 1 species
CUGCUGCCUCCCGUAGGAGUCUGGGCCGUGUCUCAGUCCCAAUGUGGCCGGUCACCCUCUCAGGUCGGCUACUGAUCGUCGGCUUGGUGGGCCGUUACCCCGCCAACUACCUAAUCAGACGCGGGCCCAUCUUACACCACCGGAGUUUUUACCACUGCACCAUGCAGUACUGUGGUCUUAUGCGGUAUUAGCAGUCAUUUCUAACUGUUAUCCCCCUGUGUAAGGCAGGUUGCCCACGCGUUACUCACCCGUCCGCCGCU